UUGCUAGAGAAACUUUCUAUUUUAUUUUUGUGAGAAUAUUUCAACACGUGGUUUGCAGACAUGCCUUGUUUCCUGGGUUGUGGCUUUCUGUUCUUCCAUUCAGAUGAGAUGAUGUUAUAGGAAUUGGCAUCACUGCAACUGCUGUGAGACUCAUAGUUGGUGGCUUUGCUGCAGUAUUGGCCUAGAAGAAAUGAGCAUAUUUUGGUUUUUUUUUUUUUUCUGCAAAAUGUAUUCAAAGUCAAUGAAAUGACAAACAAACCUCUAUUAUGUAUUGACAAAUACCACUUUUAACAUUCUAGUUUGUCAAAAGGAGCAUUUUAAUAGAAAGCUUAUUUCAAAUUUUUCUGGUCAAAAUUCAAAUGCAAAUUAUCAUUAUUAUUAUUAUUAUUAUUAUUAUUAUUAUUAUUA